UACGGAGGGUGCGAGCGUUGUCCGGAAUCACUGGGCGUAAAGGGCGCGUAGGCGGCUCGUUAAGGGUGCGGUGAAAGCCCGGGGCUUAACCCCGGGUCGGCCGUGCCGACUGAUGAGCUCGAGCACUGUAGAGGCAGGUGGAAUUCCGGGUGUAGCGGUGGAAUGCGUAGAGAUCCGGAAGAACACCAGUGGCGAAGGCGGCCUGCUGGGGUAAU
rnacentral:rRNA from 1 species